rnacentral:rRNA from 1 species
AUUGAACGCUGGCGGAAUGCUUUACACAUGCAAGUCGAACGGUAGAGGGGGCAACCCCUCGAGAGUGGCGAACGGGUGAGUAAUAUAUCGGAACGUGCCCAGUCGUGGGGGAUAACGUAGCGAAAGUUACGCUAAUACCGCAUACGAUCUAAGGAUGAAAGCGGGGGAUCGCAAGAACUCGCGCGAUUGGAGCGGCCGAUAUCAGAUUAGGUAGUUGGUGGGGUAAAGGAUCACCAAGCCAACGAUCUGUAGCUGGUCUGAGAGGACGACCAGCCACACUGGAACUGAGACACGGUCCAGACUCCUACGGGAGUCAGCAGUGGGGAAUUUUGGACAAUGGACGCAAGUCUGAUCCAGCCAUUCCGCGUGCAGGAUGAAGGCCCUCGGGUUGUAAACUGCUUUUGUACGGAACGAAAAGGUCUCUCUUAAUACGGGGGGCUCAUGACGGUACCGUAAGAAUAAGCACCGGCUAACUACGUGCCAGCAGCCGCCGUAA